ACUUCAGGCAUAAUUGGAUCCAUCUUACUUUAGGCAUGUGGCUGACGCAUCUAAGCCUAGGAGCAAAGUUAGCCUGGGUUUCCUGUAUAGCCAAACAGGGAGAAGGAGGGAUAUGAGAUAUGGUGGACUGAAUUGCCGGUUAGAAGGGUUUAUCCCACUUCAGUCCCUCCUGCAGCUACAGUCCUGGGGGUAAUGCAGCUGGUCCAGUCUGGACCUAAGAGGAGAGUGACUUUCUCCUCUGCUUUCCAUCCUCAGUAAAGGUGGCAGAGCAAAAAAAAUAAAAAGGGGGGAGGGGGUACCUGCAGGGUUGCCAUGGCAUCCAUGGCAUCACACUAUUCCUCACCCAGCACGUAGCCCAAAGUUUCAAGAAGACUGACAGAUCUGUUGCUUUUCCUGAACCAACCUGAACCAAAGCCGGACUUUUUUCCUCUCUCCUGGUGCCAUACCUGUGGGACACAAAAGAUGCAGGUUUUGUGACAACUACCAGUUGCUUGUGUGGAAUACAAACAUCUCCCCUGGAACCACAUACCAGUUGUUGCCUUUCAGCUUGCAGUUUUUCAAUAAUUGCACGUUCUUCAGAAUAAUGAAAGAUUAGGAACUUCAGAAUUUGUCUAUAGCAAACAGUUUACUUUUUCUCUAUGCUUGUUCUUCAUUUCCAGUUUCUUGUUUUAAUAUGAUGGUGUUGUUUGUGCACAUUCAUAUAAGACCACCGAAUUAUUUUUCCUCCCAGUAGUGCUUUCUGUAUAUUGGGGGGGAUAUUGUCAAAACAACUCUAUUGAUACACAUUCUUCACUGGUAUGUUAGCAUUUGUCUUUCACGUUCUUUCCCAAAAGACUAUGCUGCUGCAGUGCUCUGAUUUUCUUCUUUUCAUUUUCUAUACAUUUCACUUAAUUUAGUCCUGAACUUUGAACUGUUUUCAUUUUAAAGCAGUCUCUAGUUAGUUCUGUUAUUGUUAUUUGUAGGAUUUGUCAUAAUGUUGAAUAGCUUUAUAUUUACAGCACUUGAGUACUCAUUUCUAUUCUGACGUGUUACAUAAAUGCCUUUCUAUGUCAAUACUGCCUUCGCCUUUUCCUGUGCUUCUGGAUGUGUAGUGUGCAUACCCUUUGGGGCAAAAAUAAAUAAAUAACCCAACAAAUUUUUAUGGCCCUA
rnacentral:lncRNA from 1 species